rnacentral:pre_miRNA from 1 species
AGAACGGCCUCAUCCAGGAGUUGAUGCCAGUUACCCAGCGCCUAGAUGAUGCCUUUCUU